GUCCUCUAGAAGAACAGCCAGUGCUCUUAACUGCUGAGCCGUCUCUCCAGCCCUGAUAAAUAUCUUUUAAAUGGCUAGAUACUAUGUGCUCAAUGUAGAGUAACAGAGUUCCAGAAAGAAAUUUAAACAAAUUUUAAGAAGAGAGAAUGAUCAUAGAAACACUUCCAGAAGUUUAAAAAGUAAAUGUUAGGUUAGAAAUGCCUUCUGAGGGAUGUAACUUGGUGAGAGUGCUUCCCUAGGCAUGUGCAAGGUCCCAGGGAGAGAGAAAAGGAAGGGGGAGAGGAAGAGAAGAAGAAUGUCAUGACAAAAGUGUCUGCUGAGGGGCUGGAAGUGUAAUUCAGUGAGGGAGCCAGUUAACGACCUUGAGGCUUUGGGUCAAAUCUCCAACAUGAGAUAUAAAAAUAACCAAAGGGCUCUCUCACUCUCCACCGAAAUAUGGAGGAGAAAAAGAACUCCCACACGCAGCAGAAGUGCAUACAUUUAUUCAAAGACCAGGUGCAAACACAUUUGUACAGCCCUGUCUGUAACACCUAAAGCCCACUGCACUCAAAAGGCCAUCAACGUUAAAACUGGGCAAAUUAAUUGUAGCAUGUUCACGUAAUGGAUCAGGAAUGGAUGAAUUGCUGUGCCCUGGGCGAAUCUGACAGGCUUAAUGGGAAAUGAGAGACAGGAACAAAAAAGCACAUUGAUGAUCCUGUGUCUACAAAAAUUCAAAAGCAGACCAGCAAGUGCAUAAUGCUAGAGAUGACUGACAGUGGUUACUACUAGGCUGUGUUGUGGCUGCUGCGGGCUCCUGGUAGUAUUCUAUUACAGAAUCCGAUUGCUUGUUUUUGUAAAAAUCCAUCAAGCUGCUGUUGAUAACCUGUGCUCUCUUCUGCAAACAUGUGCUUUUUCAAUAAAAACCUUACACUUUCUAAAGUUCAACAUAUGAUGGUAAAAUUUAGAGCCAGUUACAAAGGAGACUCUAAAAGCUUUAGGUGCAGCUGGAUAGGGCAGCUGGAUACAAGCAUCGUGGUAGAAUAAAGAGGAAAGGGGGAAGAAGAAAGAGUGAGUGAGUGAAUGACUUGGAACCUGAAAAGAUGAUAUUGGAAAUUAAAGGAUGUGAGAUACAUGCCUGUAACUUUUGGGGGCUUGGAGAGUUACACUUCACCUACCAGGGACCAGUAGAAUUAAGGGUGUUUGGUAAGAGACAGUAAAAAAUUGACCACCAUUUCUGAGGAAGUUUCUCAAAGAUAUAUCACCAAACUAAAAGGUGUUCAGAGAGCCUAGAAAACAGAAAAUGGUGGAAAGAGGCUCCGAGGUCUGUAUUUGGUGAAGCAGGGCACCAGGAGCUUUUGGGGAGUGGCCCCAGUGCCCAUGUGACGAUUCUCCCAGAGGGUCUGCUGAUGUGUAGUAUGUAGAAACCUAAGCAAGUGGAAACCAAAAAAGAUAAUUACUAAUAAGAAAACAGCCAGAGCAGGAAAUGCUAUAGUGGAUCUCCCUGAGUUCAUAAAAGCUAUACAUUUUCAGUAUAAACCACUUUGGUUUUUUAUGGGACAUAUAAAAUCCUCAAUGAGCCGUCUAGUUUUAUGUCUACUAACACAUGCUGGAGUCAUUUGGGAAGGGAAACUUCAUUGAGAAAAUGCUCCACCAGGUUGGCUUAUAGGGCAUUUUCUUUACUGACAAUUGAUGUGGGAGGGUCCAGUCCACUGUGGGAAGAGUCAUCCCUAGGCAGGUCCUGUGUGAUAUAAAAAAAAAGCAGGCCGAGUGUAACGACUCUUUUUCUGUCCCACCAGCCAGCUCCCAAAUAAUGACACAAAGACCUAUUAUUAAUUUUUAAAGCUCUGCCUUGGCUUAGGCUUGUCCUCCUAACUCUUAUAACUUAAAUUAACCCAUAUUUUUAUUAAUCUACAUUCUAGCAUGUGGCCUUUACCUCUGUCCCAUUCUGUGUGUUCAAUUCGUUCUGCAUCUCCAUGGGGUCUCUCUGAGGCAUAGAUUAUUUAUCUCCUACUUCCCCCCCCCCCCCGUCCCCCAGAAGUCCUGCCUAUAUCUCCUGCCUAGCUAACGGCCAUUAAGCUCUUUAUUAAACCAGGCACAAUAACACAUCUUCACACAGUGUACAAAUAUCCCACAGCAGCUGAGCAAGCUUGGGGAGAGCCAUGGGGAGCAAACCACAAGCAGCCUCCUCCACGCCUCCAUGCCUCAGUUCCUGCCUUUUGAGCUCCUUGACUUCCCUUGAUGAUGCAAUGUGAUGUGAAACUGUAGAGGACUGUAUGUGUAACUUCACAAAUGAGUUCUGAUCAGAUUGCAGCAGCCAGCAUAACCUCACAAGUGCAAUGCAGUGAAAAAGGAGGCAACGUCACAGACUAGUCCCUUGGAGGCUGGCGGUCAGUGGUCCAGCAUCGCCCGCCUCACAACCAUCUGCAGGAAGACCAUCACUCAGUGAAUUGCCGGUGAUGGAGGAGUGAGUCAGAACGUGUCCCUGCACUGCAGCCCACUAGGCUGCCAGCGUGGAACCCUGUUUUGAGGCCACAUAAGGAUGCUCCUCUGCCAAACGUUGCCUGUUCCAGUGUAAGGUGAUCAGAGCUCGGGAACCCACCACUGAUGACUUGGUCAGUGAAUGUUCUCAGCGUUAAAUAAAAUCUAAAAGUCAUGA